CACGUAGGGGGCAAGCGUUGUCCGGAUUUAUUGGGCGUAAAGAGCUCGUAGGCGGUUCGGUAAGUCGGGUGUGAAACCUCCAGGCUCAACCUGGAGACGCCACCCGAUACUGCUGUGACUAGAGUCCGGUAGGGGAGCGUGGAAUUCCUGGUGUAGCGGUGAAAAUGCGCAGAUAUCAGGAGGAACACCAGCGGCGAAGGCGGCGCUCUGGGCCGGAACUGACGCUGAGGAGCGAAAGCGUGGGGAGCAAACAGG
rnacentral:rRNA from 1 species